AGUGGGACAGCUGGGUCAAAUGGUGGUUCCCUUCCAAGUUUUCUGAGGAACCCCCUUAAUACUUUCCAAAGUGAUUGCACCAAUUUGCAGUCCCACCAGCAAU
rnacentral:pre_miRNA from 1 species